rnacentral:rRNA from 1 species
UACGGAGGGGGCUAGCGUUGUUCGGAUUUACUGGGCGUAAAGCGCACGUAGGCGGAUCUUUAAGUCAGAGGUGAAAUCCCAAGGCUCAACCUUGGAACUGCCUUUGAUACUGGGGAUCUUGAGUCCGGGAGAGGUGAGUGGAACUGCGAGUGUAGAGGUGAAAUUCGUAGAUAUUCGCAAGAACACCAGUGGCGAAGGCGGCUCACUGGCCCGGUACUGACGCUGAGGUGCGAAAGCGUGGGGAGCAAACAGG